rnacentral:rRNA from 1 species
GACAGAGGUCCCGAGCGUUAGGCGGAAUCACUGGGCUUAAAGCGUGUGUAGGCGGAUUUGUAAGUACCUUGUGAAAUCCCACAGCUUAACUGUGGAACUGCUUGGUAUACUGCUUAUCUUGGGCCACUUAGGGGUUACCGGAACAAACGGUGGAGCGGUGAAAUGCGUAGAUAUCCGGAGGAACACCGGUGGCGAAGGCGGCUUCCUGGACCGACACUGACGCUGAGGCGCGAAAGCUAGGGGAGCAAACGGG